GUUGUGGCUUAGUGGGCAUAGCGCUUGCCUAGAAUGCAUGAGGCACUGAGUUUGAUCCCUUGCACCACA
rnacentral:tRNA from 1 species